GUGGUCUGUUUGUAUUGAGAGUUCAAGAAGGGAAAGGGUGUGUUUGAGGCGCGGUGGCGAAGUUUUGUUUCCCAUGGUCAAUAAAGCACGGAGCUAUGUGUAAUAUGUUUGAAAGUCAUAUUUUAUGUGCUCACGACUCAUUAAUUGCCCCAUCGUGUCAUUGCCCUUCGACUCCCAAGAGUCCAAUCCGAGUUACUAAUUUUUCAUAUUUCGUUCGCCGGUGCCACAAAACCAGUCAUUUAUGGGCUCAUGCAUGUCGUGUAAGGCUGGGAAGGAAGCAUAUGCAUACACCACCUCUCCGGCUGCGCACAGGUUCCAGUCCUACUGCACUAUGGACGACGUGCUACCCAUCGCGGAA